rnacentral:rRNA from 1 species
CCUACGGCGGCUGCAGUGGGGAAUAUUGGACAAUGGGCGAAAGCCUGAUCCAGCCAUGCCGCGUGUGUGAAGAAGGCCUUCGGGUUGUAAAGCACUUUCAGUGGGGAAGAAAGCCUUGGGGCUAAUACCCUCGAGGAAGGACAUCACCCACAGAAGAAGCACCGGCUAACUCCGUGCCAGCAGCCGCGGUAAUACGGAGGGUGCGAGCGUUAAUCGGAAUUACUGGGCGUAAAGCGCGCGUAGGCGGUCUGAUAAGCCGGUUGUGAAAGCCCCGGGCUCAACCUGGGAACGGCAUCCGGAACUGUCAGGCUAGAGUGCAGGAGAGGAAGGUAGAAUUCCCGGUGUAGCGGUGAAAUGCGUAGAGAUCGGGAGGAAUACCAGUGGCGAAGGCGGCCUUCUGGACUGACACUGACGCUGAGGUGCGAAAGCGUGGGUAGCAAACAGGAUUAGAUACCCUGGUCGUC